AUCGCAGUCUGCGUCAUCGCUGUGGCGGCAGUCGCCCGCCAAAGAGGAAAGUCCGGACAGUAUAGGGCAUCUCGCUACCUAACGGGUAGGAUUCGUUGCAAAACGGAGACGGCAAGUGCAACAGAGAGUAGACCGCCACGCUGCGCAAGCGGCGGGGUAAGGGUGAAAGGGUGGGGUAAGAGCCCACCAGUGUCGGUGGCAACAUCGGCAGCUAGGUAAACCCCGGGAGCUGAAAGGCCAUGUAAACCGGCGUUGUCUGUCAAGGACCUUCCUGUCUCGCGACGGGCAUAAGUG
rnacentral:RNase_P_RNA from 1 species